ACCACAUACAUACGCUGCGGCAGAUUG
rnacentral:sRNA from 1 species